AGUAUGGCGCUGUGUUCUGUUGCUUUUAUUCUUGCUUUUUGCAUUUAGCCAAUUUAACACCCUUGUUUUACCUGAAGAGGAAUAUCACUUCAAACACUGGAUGUUACAGUAUAAUAAAGUCUAUGCUCUGGAGGAGUACCACCAUAGGCU